rnacentral:rRNA from 1 species
CCUACGGGGGGCAGCAGGCGCGAAAACUUUACAAUGCCGGCAACGGCGAUAAGGGGACCUCGAGUGCCAGGUUACAAAUCUGGCUGUCGUGAUGCCUAAAAAGCAUUGCAUAGCAAGGGCCGGGCAAGACCGGUGCCAGCCGCCGCGGUAACACCGGCGGCUCGAGUGGUAACCGUUAUUAUUGGGUCUAAAGGGUCUGUAGCCGGCCGGAUAAGUCUCUUGGGAAAUCCAGCAGCUCAACUGUUGGGCUUUCAGGAGAUACUGUCUGGCUCGAGGCCGGGAGAGGUGAGAGGUACUUCAGGGGUAGGGGUGAAAUCUUGUAAUCCUUGAAGGACCACCAGUGGCGAAGGCGUCUCACCAGAACGGACCUGACGGCAAGGGACGAAAGCUAGGGGCACGAACCGGAUUAGAUACCCGCGUAGUCC